AUAAAAUUGAAUAAUUUCAUAUAAAAAAAUAUAUUUUCUCUAUCUACUGUUUGGUCUUCACUCUUAACCUCACCGUAUUCAUCUCGUUCUCAGUCUCCGACCGACUUGUCCGCCACCGUCUCCGAUCAUCACCAUCUGCGAUCGCCACCGUCUUUCUCCGAUCUACCUCGUUGUCUUCCUACUCCGAUUGUCCUAGUUCCUUCGUCCUUCAUUCGAUAUUGCCUUCCUCAUUCUCCAAUUGAAAUCACCAGUCCCCUCAAUCUCCAAUCGAUCCCUCAUAGACUCUUUGUGUCUGAUGGAUCUAUGUUCCUUCGUCCUCCUUCAAUUUAUGAGGACAUAGUUUCAAGCCCCAACUCCAAACCCUAGAACAUAGUUUCAUCUUUCUGUUUACUUCAGCCUCUUCUGCAUUUCAGUAUAAAAGUGCAUCAUUUGAAGAUGGAAAAGGACCUAGUAUUUGGGAUACUUUCGCUCAUAAAUACCAAGCUUCGACAGUGGCGAUGUUUUUGUUCACAACUUCAACAACGGCUUCGGUGAUGAGGACGACGUUGUUCAUGGUUUCGACGGUGGCGUGGUUGUUUUCCCCCCUCACUGUCAAACAAAUUUCAAUCAAACGAGACUGAACAAGAGGUUGCUUUGGCGAUUUGUAGGGGAGUAGUUGACUUUAAGAGGGAGCCUUAGCCUCAGAUUUUUGACAGUGCCAAGAGUCUCGUGCCUCAACAUUUAGGUGUCCAUUCGGUUUCAACAAGGAAUACUAUUUUUGAGUGAGCUUUGGAGACAUACUUCAAGAAUUGUUGGUUAUGGUGAAUUGCUUAGUGAGACUAUGAUAGAAAUUGCUAGGUCUAGAUUGUAAGAAUCUAAAAAAAUAAGAACAUGAAAAGUUCGAUUGUAAAAUUUUAAGUAUAUAAUAUUUUUUUUUGUAACUAUUUCUAAUUUACAUAAUAUGACA